AGGUGAAUUGGAGCCCAACAACA
rnacentral:snRNA from 1 species